rnacentral:rRNA from 1 species
UACGAAGGGGGCUAGCGUUGUUCGGAAUUACUGGGCGUAAAGGGCGCGUAGGCGGCACUGUUAGUCAGGCGUGAAAGCCCUGGGCUCAACCCAGGAAGUGCACUCGAAACUGCGAGGCUAGAGUACUGGAGAGGUUGGUGGAAUUCUCGGUGUAGAGGUGAAAUUCGUAGAUAUCGAGAGGAACACCGGUGGCGAAGGCGGCCAACUGGACAGAUACUGACGCUGAGACUCGAAAGCGUGGGGAGCAAACAGG